rnacentral:rRNA from 1 species
GAUGAACGCUAGCGGCAGGCUUAAUACAUGCAAGUCGAACGGUAACAGGUCUUCGGACGCUGACGAGUGGCGCACGGGUGAGGAACACGUACACAAUCUACCUUAUACUGGAGAAUAGCCCCGGGAAACUGGGAUUAAUACUCCAUAGUCUUUAAUGAUCACAUGAGAAAUAAAGUAAAGCUUCGGCGGUAUAAGAUGAGUGUGCGUCCCAUUAGAUUGUUGGUGAGGUAACGGCUCACCAAGUCGACGAUGGGUAGCUGGCGUGAGAGCGCGACCAGCCACACUGGCACUGAGACACGGGCCAGACUCCUACGGGAGGCAGCAGUAGGGAAUAUUGGUCAAUGGACGAAAGUCUGAACCAGCCAUGCCGCGUGGAGGAUGACUGCCCUCUGGGUUGUAAACUCCUUUUAUAUGGGAAGAAACCUCUGGAUUCACUCCAGAGCUGACGGUAUCAUAUGAAUAAGCACCGGCUAACU